rnacentral:lncRNA from 1 species
UUACAAGCUGCAUGGGUUUCCCCCAGAUUUCAAGUUCACAAAAGAUAGGAGGACUGCUGCAAAGUGUUGAUGUACAAAAGGGUAUGGACAUGGGUGUAAAUGCUGGAUUGUCCAAUGUGGGUGAAAAUGUUCAAACUAGUUCUACUUCAGAAUUUGGUAUACCUGGGUUGUCAAAGGAGCAAUACUCACAGCUAUUGACCCUUCUUCAACAGACUCAAACUUCU